UUUUUUUUUUUUUUGAGAUGGAGUCUUGCUCUGUCACCCAGGUUGGAGUGCAGUGGCACAAUCUCAGCUCACUGCAACCUCCGCCUCCCAGGUUCAAGCAAUUCUCCUACCUCACCUGGCCAACAUGGUGAAACUCUGUCUCUACUAAAAACACAAAAAUUAGCUGGGUGUGGUGGCGGGUGCUUGUAAUCCCAGCUACUCGGGAGGCUGAAGCAGAGAAUUGCUUGAACCCAGGAGGCGGAGGUUGCAGUUAGCCAAGAUUGAGCCAUUGCACUCCAGCCUGGGUGACAGAUCGAGACUCCGUCUCAAAAAAAAAAAAAGAAAAUUAAAAAUUAAAAAAAAAGAUGGGAUUCACUUGUCCCUCCACAGCAUAUUGUUGGG
rnacentral:lncRNA from 10 species